rnacentral:lncRNA from 1 species
GAUUUUACUAAAGAUGAGUGGGUUAAAAUUUGUCUCUUUGAAAUCCAUUUUUUACUGGAGUUUGAAACAGCUGAAGAUGCAGAGUUUGAGGAACAAAUCGCAUCAAAAUACAUCUUUCUUCAGAACAUAGAUGCUGUCAAAGAGAUAUCAAAAUCUAUAAAUCGGACAUCAAAAAGAACUAUAAAAUCAAGACAAAAGAGACAGAACACUGCAUCUGAAAAUGACGAAAUUCACCUAUAUUCUGAAAAGGUUCACAUUGUCAAGAAGGUAGAGUUUGAGCUAACAAAUUUAUUUGAAAAUGAGAUUGACAUUAAAAUUGUGAUAGAUGUCAUUACUAAAUGAAUGGUGACAGCCAC